AUUGAACGCUGGCGGCAGGCCUAACACAUGCAAGUCGAACGGUAGCACAGAGAGCUUGCUCUCGGGUGACGAGUGGCGGACGGGUGAGUAAUGUCUGGGAAACUGCCUGAUGGAGGGGGAUAACUACUGGAAACGGUAGCUAAUACCGCAUAACGUCGCAAGACCAAAGAGGGGGACCUUCGGGCCUCUUGCCAUCAGAUGUGCCCAGAUGGGAUUAGCUAGUAGGUGGGGUAACGGCUCACCUAGGCGACGAUCCCUAGCUGGUCCGAUAGGAUGACCAGCCACACUGGAACUGAGACACGGUCCAGACUCCUACGGGAGGCAGCAGUGGGGAAUAUUGCACAAUGGGCGCAAGCCUGAUGCAGCCAUGCCGAGUGUAUGAAGAAGGCCUUCGGGUUGUAAAGUACUUUCAGCGGGGAGGAAGGCGGUGAGGUUAAUAACCUCAUCGAUUGACGUUACCCGCAGAAGAAGCACCGGCUAACUCCGUGCCAGCAGCCGCCGCCG
rnacentral:rRNA from 1 species